rfam:Camelus ferus unplaced genomic scaffold scaffold1191, whole genome shotgun sequence.
GAGGGUAUAGCUCAAUGGUGGAGUGUGUGCCUAGCAUGCACAAGGUCCUGGGUUCAGUCCCCUGGACUUCCA